UACGGGGGGGGCAAGCGUUGUUCGGAAUUACUGGGCGUAAAGGGCUCGUAGGCGGCCAACUAAGUCCGACGUGAAAUCCCCAGGCUUAACCUGGGAACUGCGUCGGAUACUGGAUGGCUUGAAUCCGGGAGAGGGAUGCGGAAUUCCAGGUGUAGCGGUGAAAUGCGCAGAUAUCAGGAGGAACACCGGUGGCGAAGGCGGGUCUCUGGACAACUCCUGACACUGAGGCACGAAAGCUAGGGGAGCAAACAGG
rnacentral:rRNA from 1 species